UUAUUUUUAUAUUUAUUGGUUGACAAAUGGUUGUCGAUUAAUUAAUUAAAUACAUGCUGUCCUUUAGACAUUCCAUUACCUAGAGCGCACGAUGGAAGGGAUUAGAUAUGCGUGGGCCUUCUAUCUCCUCUGGAUUCCCAUUGCUCGUUAAAGCCAGGCCCGUACACAAGUUUAAGAGAAACCAGAGUGCAUUCAUUGCAAACUGGAGAAUCUAUCAGCACAAAGAACGUGGAGGAAAGCAUGGAUUUUGCUCAAAAUAUGAAUGGUGCUACUUCUAGUUGGUAAAAUAAAGGUGCCAAGAUACCAUUCUCGCUCUUGCUUGGUUCGACUUUACUCUUCCUUAAAAAACUGAGAGCUU
rnacentral:lncRNA from 1 species